AUAAGCUUUAUCAGCCUCAUACGCCACGGCCAAAAUAUUAGACAGGGCAAAACAUGAGGUAAUCCAAUACAAAAAUGUCAACCAGUAGUUACUAGGAAAAAUUGCCUACAGAGGAAGAAAAAAAGGAAAGAAAAGAACAAAGAGGGGAAAAGGGAGGGGCUGGGAGAGUUCUAGCAGGGUGGGAACUAGAAAUUUCGCAUCUCAAAAGACAACAUCGAUUAUUUCAGCACAUCAGCUUAGAAGUUCUUGUUAAGCAUUUCAUACUUACCGCUAGGUACAUACUGUUCUUCCAACCUGGUCUUGCUCCCAGCAGCAUCUUCAUUGUUCGCUAUACAAUUGGUCAGUUAAUCUCAUCGAGCAACGUCAUAUCAUGUGCUUAUUAGAAAUGAGCAAACUAAUUGAAGAGCAGUCAAUGGUAGUAUGUACGAAAAGGACCCCCACUUACUGCAUCCUCUACUUUGCAACCCGUUGUAUGAUUGUUAUGUCAUUGCUUGUAACUCGAAGAAAGAGUCUUCCCUGAUAACGAUGUCUUCUCCUUUAGACUAGUACUCAAUAAAGAAUCUGAGUUGCUUGAUUGGUUUUCACCAAAGCCUGGUCUCAUCCAGAUCUUAAUGUGCCCUUCCCGGCAGACAGUAAGCACUGAUUCAUGAGUGAAUGUUAAACCAGAGAGCGGUUCAGUAUGAACACGGUGAGUAACCAGGGGUGAUAUUUUUGGAAUAUCUCGCAUACUUGGAGCAGGUUGCAAAGUACCCACAGGGCAAGCAUUAUCCCAAUGUGAUGACUGACUCCCGGUGCUGAAAGUUGGAGAUCCACCAGGAGGACGGCGCAUUGGUACUACAA
rnacentral:misc_RNA from 1 species